CCGGCGGGGUAGGACGUCAACAACAGCGAACAAUUUAUUAAAAAUUAAGACAACUUGUAAAAUGAAGUUUUUCAGGUUCCCGGCCACAUACAUUCGCGAACGGACUUUCCCUGACUGUUGACCGCGGAUAUUCCUGAGCCGUAGGAGAUUAUGCAUCAUUUUAAAAUGACUAAAUUGAACCAGGUUAUCAGAAAGCUGCGAGGAGAGAGGAAAACGGAGAGGAGGAGAGGAAGAGAAGCAGCCCUGACGCGGUGUGAAGGAAUGGAAUAUGCCCCGGAGCAGAACCAGAGGAAGGAGGGAAGGAGGGAUGACUGCUGUGAGAUGAAAGAGGAAUAGAGCAGGUCACAGAACAACUCGAGAAACCAUUCAGCUGUGAGGGGACAGAAGAAGCCAGAAGAUCACACACAAACACACCCGAAGAGGACGAGACCAAGGGUAAGCAGAGAAGAUGUCUGCAUUAAUUUCCAAACCUUCGUCUCUCUACACACAUGCGCAAUGGUUUAUGAGAUGGUUUCAGUCAUUGAAGUAGAAUAAAAACUAAACAUUAAAUAGCCAUCUUCUUAUAACAGGUAAAUGGAGGCAUCUGAAAAGUGACUUAAGACAUGAGGGAGAAUGGCCUUGUCUUUGUUGUGUCCUAGCUCAGAGAGAGCGCGAGAGAGAAAGAAAGAGAGUAAAGGAGAGAGUGAGUAAAAGAGAGGGAGAGAUUGAGUA